rnacentral:rRNA from 1 species
CCUACGGGAUGCACCAGUGAGGAAUUUUCUGCAAUGGGCGAAAGCCUGACAGAGCAAUACCGCGUGAGGGAAGAAGGCUUACUGAGUUGUAAACCUCUGUUCCCUAAGGAGGAAGAUCUGACGUUACUUAGGAGACGAAGCAUCGGCUAACUCCGUGCCAGCAGCCGCGGUAAGACGGAGGAUGCAAGUGUUAUCCGGAAUCACUGGGCGUAAAGCGUCUGCAGGUGGUUUCUUAAGUCCACUGUUAAACCUUGAGGCUCAACCUCAAUUCAGCAUUGGGAACUGGGAAGCUUGAGUAUAGUAGGGGUAGAGGGAAUUUCCAGUGGAGCGGUGAAAUGCGUAGAUAUCGGAAAGAACUCCGAUGGCGAAGGCACUCUACUGGGCUAUUACUGACACUCAGAGACGAAAGCUAGGGGAGCAAAUGGGAUUAGAUACCCGUGUAGUC